CUGCACCCGUAUAAAGGUUAUGCUAAAAAAUAUUGAAAUAGCUUAGCCUUGAGCGUUUGUGCAAAGAGAAAAUACUGAUUUUUAAUCAGUGGCGGCCAGACAACCGUUGAGAUGAAUCCACAGAUAAGUUCCCUUUUAUGGUACUUGUCUACUAAAUUCAUCUCACAUUU